rnacentral:lncRNA from 1 species
GGUUCAGAUAUCUCCAACCAAAGAACAAGUCAGCCAUGCUAUAAGUGCCUUGAAAUCAAGUUCUAAGUGAUCUGUUGCCCUUCUCUUGCCUCUACCUGCUUACAGAGCCCUCUGAACUCCAGGAAAACACUUUGCCAUGGGCAUGUAUGAUUUUUCCAAGUGCAGAGUGAUGUCGACACAUCAUGGACUCUGGUCUGUGCUCCACUACAGAAGGCUACCACUGUCUUACAAGUCGAUUUUAAAAUACUCACAGCUUCACUUUCUUUUAACAGUCCUUUAGCUCAGAAUGUUCUUGUCUGUCUGGGCCUGCCUUGAAAUUGAUCCUGGAUUUGAAACUGACAACUGUGAACUAGCAAGAAAAUGGUGCUGCAAGAGUUUUCAUGUUUGAAGAAGAUUCAAAGACGGGUCUGAUUGUAUAGGUUCAUGGCUCAGUCACAAAUAAACAUAGGUUCUGAUCACCUGAGCUCUUCAGUUCACUCGGAUUCGGAAGUGCUCUCUCUCUCUCUCUCUCUGUCUCUCUCUCUCUGUGUCUGUGUGUGUGUGUAAUAAAAUGUAAUGCAAUGUAUAUAUAAAAUAUUAUACAAUAUUCUGAAGAGUUUUGAGGCAGUAUUCUAUAAUCAAAUACAUUAAUAUUCCUGCACCCAAAAGGCAUAAUGGCCACAUUAGGAGAACUAUGUGGCAAUUAUAGACUUUGUUACGGGAAUUUUAUUACUGGCUCCAAAAUGAUACAAACAUUUCCAAUGCUUAUUAUAUUUUGUUGUUGCAGACAUGAUAUUAUAAGAUUUUAUUUUGAAAAUAUCUGCUAUAGGACUAGUGAAAUAUUUUUAAAACGGCAUUUAAUAACACAGUAGAGAAAAAUUUCAAGGCUAGGAUGAAAACUCUCCUAUAUUUUAAUGUGAACCCAUUUCUGUGUGGAGUAAAAAUCUGGGGAAAAAACACAAAUGUUAAGAAUAAGCAGGAAUUAAUAUCAAGGAAAGUAACAUGCAAGUAGUUUAAAGGUAGCUUAAGAGAGUAAUUAUCAUUUUCAAAUUGCGUGAGAAAUACAGAAACUCUGAAUAGCUUUUUCUGAAAUCACAUUAGCCGCCCUCCCUACCUCCAUUACUCUACAUAAUUUCACCACAGACCAGUGGGAAUCAUAAACACAGUUUAUAAGUGCUUUAGCUUUGUGAGUAUAUUACUCCUAGAGUGGAAACUAUUGAGGUAGAUGCUGUAAAAGAUACACUGUAGAUGUGAUAUUCAUUGUAUUGUUCACAGGGAGGAUACAGGCUGAAUCAUUGAAAUGAUGUGAACUUUCUUCCCCCAACACAAUCUCUCUCCAC